UGGAGAGUUUGAUCCUGGCUCAGGACGAACGCUGGCGGCGUGCUUAACACAUGCAAGUCGAACGAUGAAGCCUGCAACUUGUUGUGGGUGGAUUAGUGGCGAACGGGUGAGUAAUACGUGGGUAACCUGCCCUCCUUUUUGGGAUAAGCCUUGGAAACGGGGUCUAAUACCGAAUAUUCUGGCGCUCUCGCAUGGGGGUGUUGGGAAAGCUUUAGUGUGAAGGGGGAUGGGCUCGCGGCCUAUCAGCUUGUUGGUGGGGUGAUGGCCUACCAAGGCGGUGACGGGUAGCCGGCCUGAGAGGGUGACCGGCCACAUUGGGACUGAGAUACGGCCCAGACUCCUACGGGAGGCAGCAGUGGGGGAUAUUGCACAAUGGGCGAAAGCCUGAUGCAGCGACGCCGCGUGGGGGAUGAAGGCUUUCGGGUUGUAAACCUCUUUCGCUAUCGAACAAGGCUCAUUUUUUGGUGGGUUGAGGGUAGGUGGAGAAGAAGCGCCGGCUAACUACGUGCCAGCAGCCGCGGUA
rnacentral:rRNA from 1 species